CGGAACGCAGCCAUCGUUCAUAAACUUCCUAACACGUUCGUCUCUUUGAUAAAACGAAACGAUCUUUUGACGCCAUUUUUGCCAUUUCGGUACGAGAAUGUAGCUGUGAAUGUUUGGAAAAGUCCACUGCCAUUAGUAAGGCGAAAGCUGGUAAUAGGAAACACACACAAAAACUAUUUGAAGAAGGUUAGAACGUAUAAGGCGAGAAUCAGAUCUACUUAAAUAAUCUUCCAGAACGAGUUCGUGCGCAAGUACAACAGCCGUGUGGCAACAGAACCUUUCUUAAAUGGCAGUACUAGCUCUUAUGUGGAGGAAAUGUACAAUGCAUGGCUGCAAGAUCCAACCAGCGUGCAUGUAUCAUGGGAUUCUUUUUUUCGAAAUAGCACUACAGGAGCUGCACCAGGACUUGCAUAUCAGGCAUUGCCAUCUCUUGCUCUAAGUUACAAUCAGCCCUCUUGGAGGGUUGUUACCUCUCGGUGGUGGAACUCAAAUCGGCCAGGUACCUAUCAACAAAAAAAUUAUUGACGAUCAUCUAGCGGCGCAAGCGAUUGUUUGGUCAUACCAGCUUCCAGAAGCAGUUAAUGCUGUCGUGUAUGUGUAUCACUUUAAUAAAACCCGGAGCUGAUAUAAAUGAACGCAAGGAAGAUUUGACGUUGCUACAUCAAACAAUAUGAAUUUAAUGGGAUGCUUCGAAUAUAAAGCAAGAAGAGGCAGCAAUAGUUCUUCUAUAAUAUGGAACGGAUUCUUGGGAUCGUUCUACAUAGUUGGGAGGUAUGAUAAGGAAACACACAAAUAUGUACAGUCAUUUCAUUCUAUUUAUUAACAGUACUUAUAAGGGGUACUACAGCGAAAUAUUGUUCGUCCGCACAUAGCAUUAGCAUAAAUUUAAGGACAAUUUUGUUCAGAGGCCAGAUUUUUAAACAAGAUAACUGUCUGACUUUAUAUGUGUUUAAAGUUAUGGAACUACACGGAGUAUUGUAGAGUUCACUUACAAUUUCAAAUUUACGACCUACUGCUACAUAUUCACCGUUGCUUGCUGUUGCAAUAUUUUCCAAACACACUAUGUCUUUAUCUAUCAAGCAACAAUUAUCAGGAGAUUUGAUUGUAAGCGUAUAAAUGGAGAAAAUGACUUUAGAAAAUUGCGGACUGCAACAUCCUGAUAUUAAUGGUCCAUUAUAAUGGCGGUUUUUUACGCCAAUGUGUGGCUUUUUCUCAUUUCGCUGUGGUAUUUCGCACGAGCUCAUUUCUCCGAAGCGAUUACUUAUCUGUUCCAAUGGCCUUUCCGAUUUCCGUAACUUACGUUUAAGUUCCUUCAUAAAAUUUUCAAAGGGAAAAGCGCUAAAAUUGUCUAGUGGCCCAAACUGUUCAACAUCAUCAGUUAAGUGUAAAAGUCCGUGAACGUUGUGCGAUACGUAUUCAGGACCAUAAAUUAUUAUGAAACAUUUAACAAAAUGUCUCACUAAUUUUCCGGCAUAUUCAAUUUUUUCGGUUGUGGUUUUCUCGCUUAAGAGACGAAUGGCAACAUGCAAACAGAGAAAGUUUGAAAAAAGAACCGAGUUUAAUAUUUUCUGCAGUACCACGAUACCAGUGUAUAACCAGAGAGAAGCCUGAGAGUGGCCAGGCCCAUAAAAGUUUUUACGAUCGCUAUUCCGGCCCGUAAGCU